UACGGGGGGAGCAAGCGUUGUUCGGAUUUACUGGGCGUAAAGGGCGCGUAGGCGGUCAGCACAAGUCAAUUGUGAAAUCUCCGAGCUUAACUCGGAAAGGUCAACUGAAACUGUGCGACUAGAGUGCGGAAGGGGCAACUGGAAUUCUUGGUGUAGCGGUGAAAUGCGUAGAUAUUGGGAAGAACACCGGUGGCGAAGGCGGCUCUCUGGACCGAUACUGACGCUGAGGCGCGAAAGCGUGGGGAGCAAACAGG
rnacentral:rRNA from 1 species